CAUCGUUUUCGGAAUGUGUACAGCCACUGCUGCAAGGAAAAGCUAGUUCGGGAAGCCAACAUAGAAGGCUGUGUCGCCAGCUUCGAGCGGAAAUUGCUCUAUUUUUAGAUGAAAAUCAGAUUAUUACGAGCUGCAACACAGCAGAAUGCCGCUGGCAGUAUGAUGCGCUCGGUGAGGCACUUUCUAAAAAGUACCCACGGUUCAUGUGGGAGGAUCCAAAACCAGGCAGCCGUCUUCAGCAGACACGAAGCCAUGUCUAUAGUGUGUUCAUACGAAGGCUAUCAAUUGCACGCAAAGUUAGAAGGCAUAGGGAAAAGAAAAGAGCAACAACUGUCCCAGCCUCCACAGACACCUUUGUCUUUACAAAGGA
rnacentral:lncRNA from 1 species